rnacentral:rRNA from 1 species
GACAGAGGAUGCAAGCGUUAUCCGGAAUGAUUGGGCGUAAAGCGCGCGCAGAUGGUUGCGUAAGUCAGAUGUGAAAGCCCUGGGCUCAACCUGGGAAUUGCAUUUGAGACUGCGUAGCUAGGGUGCGGAAGAGGGAAGCGGAAUUUCCGGUGUAGCGGUGAAAUGCGUAGAUAUCGGAAGGAACACCAGUGGCGAAGGCGGCUUCCUGGUCCAGCACCGACAUUCAGGCACGAAAGCGUGGGGAGCAAACAGG